AGAGUUUGAUCCUGGCUCAGAACGAACGCUGGCGGCGUGGAUAAGACAUGCAAGUCGAGCGCUGAUUUGGAGGUAGCAAUAUUUUCAAAUCGGAGCGGCGCAAGGGUGCGUAACACGUGGGAAUCUGCCUUGAAGUGUGGGAUAACUCCGAGAAAUCGGAGCUAAUACCGCAUGUGAUCGUGAGAUCAAAGUUGGGGAUCGCAAGACCUGACGCUUCAAGAUGAGCCCGCGGCCUAUCAGCUAGUUGGUGAGGUAAUGGCUCACCAAGGCUAAGACGGGUAGCUGGUCUGAGAGGACGACCAGCCACACUGGAACUGAGACACGGUCCAGACACCUACGGGUGGCAGCAGUCGAGAAUUUUUCUCAAUGGGCGAAAGCCUGAAGGAGCGACGCCGCGUGGGGGAUGAAUGGCUUCGGCCCGUAACACCCCUGUCAUUUGCGAACAAAUUAUUUUACCUAACACGUAACGUAUUGAUUGUAGCGGAAGAGGAAGG
rnacentral:rRNA from 1 species